GUGGGAUGACGUCAAGUCCUCAUGGCCCUUAUGUCCAGGGCUACACACGUGCUACAAUGGGCGGUACAAAGGGUCGCAAACCCGUAAGGGGGAGCAAAUCCCAUCGAAAGCCGUCCUCAGUUCGGAUUGAGGUCUGCAACUCGACCUCAUGAAGCUGGAAUCGCUAGUAAUCGCGGAUCAGCAUGCCGCGGUCGAAUACGUUCCCGGGCCUU
rnacentral:rRNA from 1 species